rnacentral:rRNA from 1 species
UACAGAGGGUGCAAGCGUUUAAUCGGAAUUACUGGGCGUAAAGCGCGCGUAGGCGGUUCGAUAAGUCGGAUGUGAAAGCCCUGGGCUCAACCUGGGAAUGCCAUUCGAUACUGUCGAGCUAGAGUAUGGUAGAGGAAAGCGGAAUUCCACAUGUAGCGGUGAAAUGCGUAGAUAUGUGGAGGAACAUCAGUGGCGAAGGCGGCUUUCUGGACUAAUACUGACGCUGAGGUGCGAAAAGCGUGGGGGAGCAAAACAGGAUUAGAUACCCUGGUAGUCCACGCCC